rnacentral:rRNA from 1 species
AUGAACGCUGGCGGCGUGCCUAAUACAUGCAAGUCGAGCGAACAGACGAGGAGCUUGCUCCUCUGACGUUAGCGGCGGACGGGUGAGUAACACGUGGAUAACCUACCUAUAAGACUGGGAUAACUUCGGGAAACCGGAGCUAAUACCGGAUAAUAUAUUGAACCCCAUGGUUCAAUAGUGAAAGACGGUUUUGCUGUCACUUAUAGAUGGAUCCGCGCCGCAUUAGCUAGUUGGUAAGGUAACGGCUUACCAAGGCGACGAUGCGUAGCCGACCUGAGAGGGUGAUCGGCCACACUGGAACUGAGACACGGUCCAGACUCCUACGGGAGGCAGCAGUAGGGAAUCUUCCGCAAUGGGCGAAAGCCUGACGGAGCAACGCCGCGUGAGUGAUGAAGGUCUUCGGAUCGUAAAACUCUGUUAUUAGGGAAGAACAAAUGUGUAAGUAACUAUGCACGUCUUGACGGUACCUAAUCAGAAAGCCACGGCUAACUACGUG